GACGAACGCUGGCGGCGCGCCUAACACAUGCAAGUCGAACGAGCGAGAGGAGGUUUACUUUCUCAAGCGAGUGGCGAACGGGUGAGUAACGCGUGAGGAACCUGCCUCAAAGAGGGGGACAACAGUUGGAAACGACUGCUAAUACCGCAUAAGCCCACGGCUCGGCAUCGAGCAGAGGGAAAAGGAGCAAUCCGCUUUGAGAUGGCCUCGCGUCCGAUUAGCUGGUUGGUGAGGUAACGGCCCACCAAGGCGACGAUCGGUAGCCGGACUGAGAGGUUGAACGGCCACAUUGGGACUGAGACACGGCCCAGACUCCUACGGGAGGCAGCAGUGGGGAAUAUUGCACAAUGGGGGAAACCCUGAUGCAGCGACGCCGCGUGGAGGAAGAAGGUCUUCGGAUUGUAAACUCCUGUUGUUGAGGAAGAUAAUGACGGUACUCAACAAGGAAGUGACGGCUAACUACGUGCCAGCAGCCGCGGUAAAACGUAGGUCACAAGCGUUGUCCGGAAUUACUGGGUGUAAAGGGAGCGCAGGCGGGAAGACAAGUUGGAAGUGAAAUCCAUGGGCUCAACCCAUGAACUGCUUUCAAAACUGUUUUUCUUGAGUAGUGCAGAGGUAGGCGGAAUUCCCGGUGUAGCGGUGGAAUGCGUAGAUAUCGGGAGGAACACCAGUGGCGAAGGCGGCCUACUGGGCACCAACUGACGCUGAGGCUCAAAAGUGUGGGUAGCAAACAGGAUUAGAUACCCUGGUAGUCCACACUGUAAACGAUGAUUACUAGGUGUUGGAGGAUUGACCCCCUCAGUGCCGCAGUUAACACAAUAAGUAAUCCACCUGGGGAGUACGACCGCAAGGUUGAAACUCAAAGGAAUUGACGGGGGCCCGCACAAGCAGUGGAGUAUGUGGUUUAAUUUGACGCAACGCGAAGAACCUUACCAAGUCUUGACAUCCUGCGACGGUGCUGGAAACAGUACUUUCCUUCGGGACGCAGAGACAGGUGGUGCAUGGUUGUCGUCAGCUCGUGUCGUGAGAUGUUGGGUUAAGUCCCGCAACGAGCGCAACCCUUAUGGUCAGUUACUACGCAAGAGGACUCUGGCCAGACUGCCGUUGACAAAACGGAGGAAGGUGGGGAUGACGUCAAAUCAUCAUGCCCCUUAUGACUUGGGCUACACACGUACUACAAUGGCGUUAAACAAAGAGAAGCAAGACCGCGAGGCGGAGCAAAACUCAGAAACAACGUCCCAGUUCGGACUGCAGGCUGCAACUCGCCUGCACGAAGUCGGAAUUGCUAGUAAUCGCAGAUCAGCAUGCUGCGGUGAAUAAAAGGCCGGGCCUUGCACA
rnacentral:rRNA from 1 species